GCAGGCGCGGGAAAGUUGAACUAAUAAAGUUUGUACGAGUUCAGUGGAGGAGACCGCAAGUUGAGUGGAGGAGGCGGCGGUGGGGCCCCGGACCAGGUGCCUCCAUGGCAGGCUCUGAAGAGCUGGGGCUCCGGGAAGACACGCUGAGGGUCCUAGCUGCCUUCCUUAGGCGUGGUGAGGCUGCCGGGUCUCCUGUUCCAACUCCACCUAGAAGCCCUGCCCAAGAAGAGCCAACAGACUUCCUGAGCCGCCUUCGAAGAUGUCUUCCCUGCUCCCUGGGGCGAGGAGCAGCCCCCUCUGAGUCCCCUCGGCCUUGCUCUCUGCCCAUCCGCCCCUGCUAUGGUUUAGAGCCUGGCCCAGCUACUCCAGACUUCUAUGCUUUGGUGGCCCAGCGGCUGGAACAGCUGGUCCAAGAGCAGCUGAAAUCUCCGCCCAGCCCAGAAUUACAGGGUCCCCCAUCGACAGAGAAGGAAGCCAUACUGCGGAGGCUGGUGGCCCUGCUGGAGGAGGAGGCAGAAGUCAUUAACCAGAA
rnacentral:circRNA from 1 species